AACGAACGCUGGCGGCAUGCCUAACACAUGCAAGUCGAACGAGACCUUCGGGUCUAGUGGCGCACGGGGGCGUAACGCGUGGGAAUCUGCCCUUGGGUUCGGAAUAACAGUUGGAAACGACUGCUAAUACCGGAUGAUGACGUAAGUCCAAAGAUUUAUCGCCCAGGGAUGAGCCCGCGUAGGAUUAGCUAGUUGGUGGGGUAAAGGCCUACCAAGGCGACGAUCCUUAGCUGGUCUGAGAGGAUGAUCAGCCACACUGGGACUGAGACACGGCCCAGACUCCUACGGGAGGCAGCAGUGGGGAAUAUUGGACAAUGGGCGAAAGCCUGAUCCAGCAAUGCCGGGUGAGUGAUGAAGGCCUUAGGGUUGUAAAGCUCUUUUACCCGGGAUGAUAAUGACAGUACCGGGAGAAUAAGCCCCGGCUAACUCCGUG
rnacentral:rRNA from 1 species